UGGGGAAUCUUGCGCAAUGCGCGAAAGCGUGACGCAGCAACGCCGCGUGAGGGAAGAAGGCUCUCGGGUUGUAAACCUCUUUCAGUUGGGACGAAGCUUCGUCGGUGAAUAGCCGACCGGAGUGACGGUACCUUCAGAAGAAGCCCCGGCUAACUACGUGCCAGCAGCCGCGGUAAUACGUAGGGGGCAAGCGUUGUCCGGAAUCAUUGGGCGUAAAGCGCGUGUAGGCGGCUCGGUAAGUCCGCUCUGAAAGCCCGGGGCUCAACCCCGGGAGGCGGGUGGAUACUGUCGAGCUAGAGUCCGGAAGAGGCGAGUGGAAUUCCUGGUGUAGCGGUGAAAUGCGCAGAUAUCAGGAGGAACACCAAUUGCGAAGGCAGCUCGCUGGGACGGUACUGACGCUGAGACGCGAAAGCGUGGGGAGCAAACAG
rnacentral:rRNA from 1 species